CCAGCUCAGCGGAACUUGUACCUGGAUGUGAUGGUGGAGAACUACAGUAACCUGGUCUCCGUGGUGAAGAAACUAGGAGGUGGGAGUGUUUUGAUAAUAUUGCCAUUGUGCAGCAGGCUGUUUGAGCAAGUAUCAUUGGCAAAUCUAUAUCAUCUGAAGAUGACCAGGCCUUUUUUCUAAAACCCGGAAUUCAAGAUUUAUUCUCUGAAAUUAUUCUGAAUAAAUAUAACGAAGACGCACGUUAUCAAUGGAAUGAACAUUGGAAAAACUUUAAACAAGAG